rnacentral:rRNA from 1 species
AGUCGUACGGAAAAGCAAUUUUUAGUGGCGAACGGGUGAGUAACGCGUGAGAAUUUGCCUCUAGGAAGAGGAUAACAUUUAGAAAUAAAUGCUAAAACUCUAUAUGCCAUCUGGUGAAAAAAGAAAUUUGCCUAGAGAGAAGCUCGCGUCUGAUUAGCUAGUUGGUGGGGUAAAGGCCUACCAAGGCGACGAUCAGUAGCUGGUCUGAGAGGACGACCAGCCACACUGGAACUGAGACACGGUCCAGACUCCUACGGGAGGCAGCAGUGAGGAAUUUUCUGCAAUGGGCGAAAGCCUGACAGAGCAAUACCGCGUGAGGGACGAAGGCCUACGGGUUGUAAACCUCUUUUCUCAAGGAGGAAGAUCUGACGUUACUUGAGGAAUAAGCAUCGGCUAACCCUGUGCCAGCAGCCGCGGUAAUACAGGGGAUGCAAGUGUUAUCCGGAAUUAUUGGGCGUAAAGCGUCUGCAGGUGGAGAAUUAAGUCUUUUGUUAAAUCUUCGGGCUUAACCCGAAAUCAGCAAAAGAAACUAUUUUUCUUGAGUAUGGUAGAGGUAGAGGGAAUUUCCAGUGGAGCGGUGAAAUGCGUAGAUAUUGGAAAGAACACCAAGAGCGAAGGCACUCUACUGGGCCAUUACUGACACUCAGAGACGAAAGCUAGGGGAGCAAACGGGAUUAGAUACCCCGGUAGUCCUAGCUGUAAACGAUGGAUACUAGAUGUUGUGGAUUCUUUGAAUCUGCAGUGUCGUAGCUAACGCGUUAAGUAUCCCGCCUGGGAAGUAUGCUCGCAAGAGUGAAACUCAAA